UAUUACGUUUUUUAAUUUAUUACAUUGCAUUUCUUCUUUUCUCUUUCUGUCAUUUGGUACUCCACUGUUUUCUCUCCCCCGUUUGGUAUUCCACCAUCUUAUCGUUCUCUCCCCUUUCUCUCUUCUUUCUCUCCAUUUUUUAUUUUCAUUUUUUCAGAAAUCUUCGAUUUUUAUCUUCAAACUCCAUGAAUACAGGUUCUUUUCUUGCUUUAUCUCAAAAAACUUCAAUUUUUAUCUCCAAACUCCAUGAAUACAGGUUCGUUUUCUUGUUUUAUCUCAAAAAGUUUUGAUUUUUGCCUCUAUCCUUGUUGAUGUGGUUUUCAUGUGCUUUGUCUUCCUGUUGAUGUGAUAUUUGCCUCUAUUUGCAUUUGUAUGCGUUUUUUUUUUGGUUUUUUGUUUUUUUAGCUGCAUGUUCAUUGUUUCUUCUAAAGAUGUCAUUUUUAUCUCAAAAAACUUUGAUUUUUAUCUCCAAACUCCAUGAACACGGGUUCGUUUUCUUGCUUUAUCUCAAAAAGCUUCAAUUUUUAUCUCCAAACUCCAUGAAUAUAGGUUCGUUUUCUUGCUUUAUCUCAAAAAGUUUCGAUUUUUGCCUCUAUCCCUGUUGAUGUAGUUUUCAUGUGCUUCGUUUUCACUCCUCAUCUUCUACGUUUUCUUUUUUUACCUCUAUUUGCAUUUGUAUGCGUUUUUUUUUUUGGUUUUUUGUUUUUUAUUUGCAUGUUCAUUGUUUCUUCUAAAGUUGUCAUUUUUAUCUCAAAAAGCUUUGAUUGUUAUCUCCAAACUUCAUGAACACGGGUUCGUUUUCUUGCUUUAUCUCAAAAAGUUUCAAUUUUUAUCUCCAAACUCCAUGAAUACAGGUUUAUUUUCUUACUUUAUCUCAAAAAGUUUCGAUUUUUGCCUCUAUCCCUGUUGAUUUAGUUUUCAUGUGCUUCGUUUUCACUCCCAAUCUUCUUCUACGUUUUCUUUUUUUACCUCUAUUUGCAUUUGUAUGCGUUUUUUUCCGGUUUUUUGUUUUUUAUCUACAUGUUCAUUGUUUCUUCUAAAGUUGUCAUUUUUAUCUCAAAAAGCUUUGAUUUUUAUCUCCAAACUCUAUGAACAGAGGUUUGUUUUCUUGCUUUAUCUCAAAAAGCUUUGGUUUUUGCCUCUAUCCCUAUUGAUGUGGUUUUGAUGUGCUUCGUUUUCCCUCCCCGUCUUCUUCUGUGUUUUCUUUUUUUACCUCUAUUUGCAUUUGUAUGCAUUUUUUUUGUUUCUUUUUCACUGCAUGUUCAUUGUUUCUUCUAAAGCUGUCAUUUUAUCUCAAAAAGCUUUGAUUCUUAUCUCCAAACUUCAUGAACACAGGUUCGUUUUCUUGCUUUCUCUGUCAACGCUUAAAUUUUUUUGUGUUCCCGAGCCUUUUCCGACGUUGCUUUCUCUUGGUUUUCUUGCAUUUUGGGUUCAGAUAUGUAGCAUUGGGUAUUUUUGUGACCGACAGCAACAACGAAGACAACAAAUAGUGUCUGACAUGAAAAGAACACGUUUGUGAUGUAUUUCAUUUCUCCUUUUGAUUCCUGGGUUCUGUCGGUACAAAAGAUUGAAUUUUUUUGUGUUCUUUAGUCUUAUUUGACCGUGGUUGAGUAUUCUUCUUCUUUUGCAAGACAAAAGCCACAGAUCAUAGUAUGUUGGAUAAAUUACAGGAGAAAACUUUGUUUUCUUUGCCCGAUGCUGACGUGGAUGCGUCAAUGCUUACGUGCGGCAAUGUCAAGAGCCCUCAUUCCCGCU